rnacentral:rRNA from 1 species
UACGUAGGGUGCAAGCGUUGUCCGGAAUUAUUGGGCGUAAAGAGCUCGUAGGCGGUUCGUCGCGUCGGCUGUGAAAUCCCGGAGCUCAACUCCGGGUCUGCAGUCGAUACGGGCGGACUUGAGUACUGCAGGGGAGACUGGAAUUCCUGGUGUAGCGGUGAAAUGCGCAGAUAUCAGGAGGAACACCGGUGGCGAAGGCGGGUCUCUGGGCAGUAACUGACGCUGAGGAGCGAAAGCAUGGGGAGCGAACAGG